AAGAUUUUAAGUUAAAUAAACUCUGGGCCUUCAAAGCCUAAAAUAAAAAAGAAUUUUUAAAUCUUG
rnacentral:tRNA from 3 species